UCAAAUGCGAUGAACGGGACAGGACUUUCUAACAGGAUCUUAUUCAGAGAGCUGCCGGUCGGUGCGAGGCAGAUAAGAAAUUAGAAGGUUAUCACCUGGAAGCAGCCGGGAUGAACAGCUCAUUUUAGUAAUUCCGGACGGAAACCUCACCGUUAAAAGGGGACCGAUUCAUCUGAGAGUACAGCAGAUACUUGAGGAGGAUGGGACUGAGAGGCCGGUUUUCCGGCAACAGAAGUGGUAACGCGGAGAAUGUUAGAUCCUUCGUCUUCUAA
rnacentral:ncRNA from 1 species